GAUGAACGCUGGCGGCGUGCCUAAUGCAUGCAAGCCGAACGGCCUGAUUUAUCAGGCAGUGGCAGACGGGUGAGUAACGCGUAAGAACUUACCCUAAAGUGGGGGACAACCUCGAGAAAUCGGGGCUAAUACCGCAUACGCUCCGCAAGGAGGAAAGCUACGGCGCUUUAGGAUGGGCUUGCGCCCGAUUAGCUAGUUGGUGAGGUAAUGGCCCACCAAGGCUUAGAUCGGUAGCUGGUCUGAGAGGAUGGUCAGCCACACUGGGACUGAGACACUGCCCAGACUCCUACGGGAGGCUG
rnacentral:rRNA from 1 species